rnacentral:rRNA from 1 species
UACGUAGGGGGCGAGCGUUGUCCGGAUUUAUUGGGCGUAAAGAGCUCGUAGGCGGCUUGGCAAGUCGGGUGUGAAACCUCCAGGCUCAACCUGGAGACGCCACUCGAUACUGCUAUGGCUAGAGUCCGGUAGGGGACCACGGAAUUCCUGGUGUAGCGGUGAAAUGCGUAGAUAUCGUAAGGAAGACCAGUGGCGAAGGCGGGUCUCUGGACAGUUCCUGACGCUGAGGCACGAAGGUCAGGGGGAGCAAACGGG